GUGUCAGCAGCCGCGGUAAUACAGAGGUCCCGAGCGUUGUUCGGAUUUAUUGGGCGUAAAGGGUGCGUAGGUGGCAAAGUAAGUUGGAUGUGAAAUCCUGGGGCUCAACCUCAGAAUUGCAUUCAAUACUGCUUAGCUAGAGAGCUGUAGAGGAGACUGGAAUUUACGGUGUAGCAGUGAAAUGCGUAGAUAUCGUAAGGAACGCCAGUGGCGAAAGCGAGUCUCUGGGCAGCAUCUGACACUGAGGCACGAAGGCCAGGGGAGCAAACGGGAUUAGAUACCCCGGUAGUCC
rnacentral:rRNA from 1 species